rnacentral:lncRNA from 1 species
AGGGGGGGCGUAACCAAGCUACCCUCGCGCCGGAAACAGCGUGUCAGGAGCCAGCCCACCGGGAUCGAGCGCGGAAAUUGAAAUCGAUUGAGAGAAGAGGAAGUUCCAAAAUAGUGAAUGGCUGGGAUCCGGUGAAUACUUGGAUGUGUACACCUUAGUUUGGAUAAACUCUUCUAAAAACCCCUGUUGCCUUUUCUUCUGCUUUCUGUACUGCUUCUGCAUGAGUCCACUGAGGUGAGAAGAGGCUACUAGGUCACCUGGAGCUGGAGUUAUGAGCCACGUGUCACGGUACUGAGACCUGAACUCACUCGGGUCCUCUGGAAGAGCUUUUGACCAUGGAGCCACAUCAACACUAGGAGGUAAUUAUUCGACAUUGUGUGCAUCUUCCUGAGCACUGUAACUAUUAUGGGACAUUUCUGACUUCCCCAAAAUGAUCACAUCAAAAAUUUCUCAAGACAUGUCCAAAUCUCCCCUGAGAAGAAGAGCAAAAUGAUGCUGUUAGAAAACCACUGAGAUAAAAGGGUACACACUCAGACUUGUGUAUAUGUGAAUCUUGAUGAGUUUAAUGAAAUGGCUAAUAUUCUUUUAAAUGAUUGAUACAUAUCCACUAUUAACAAGGAAUUAGUGUUUUCAAACAUUGCUUUGCUCUAAGAGUCCAGGUUUCUCAACUUCUUUGCAGUUUAUUAAUUAAUGUAGGAAAAGGAAUUCGUUACUAAUGCUAGUUUAGUUACACCUGAUGGCUUGAAAAGUGGAUCAUGAACAUAUUGCCACUGUCAGUUUGUUUUCUCCAACAUUGAUUGUGGCUUCACUGACAGAAAUUAGCAUUGACCAAAAUCAAUUUCUGGCUGUGAGUGAGACUUUUCUUUCUGUGGUUUAUUAUUAUUAUUAUUUGUUUUUAUGUAGGGAAGUCAAAAACUGAGGGCCUGAAAUCGGAAUGUUCCUAUUAGAAUUGUUUGAUGGUUUAGUCCUAACCAAGAAAACAAAAAUAGUAGCCCACAGAUGUAGAAUUUUACUUGAUUAACUUUCCACAUUGUAAGUCAUGUUCAUAUUUCUAAGGUGCUUUGAAAAAAAAUUAAUGUACAAUAGGCCUUGAUUGGACUUUCAGGAUGCUACACUGUCUCAACCUAUUUUUUUUCCUCCAUCUUUAUUAAAUUGGGUAUGUCUUAUUUAC